GUGUACUGUAUAUACACGUGUACAUAAUGUGCACAUUAUGUAGAGAUGUACAAUAUGUACACGUUUACAUAAUGUUUACAUUAUGUUUACAUAUGGACAGUAUGUACACGUGUACAUAUAGGUGCACAUUAUGUACAAAUGUACAAUACAUACGCAUGUACAUAUAGGUGCACAUUAUGUACAUCUGCACAGUCUCUUCACCAGUGAGCAAAUGGACGCUGCAUUGCCCUUGAUGCCAGCAGGGGGCAUGUUGCCACUACAAUUUGAGCAAGAGGCCCCUGCAGUGGUCUGCCACCAGGAGGGGGCACCCAAGCCCGCCUUUUCAGAUACCUAUUUUUGUUUUAAGAAACUAUGCAUCGCGUCACAGCGCCGCCCUUUGUCGCGUCACAGCGGUCUGCAGAGUUGCCUUCUCCUUCGUAUAGACCUGGGGGUCACUUCGAGGGUGGAACUGCGUCCUUUUCAGCACAGAACCUGGGACUUGGGUCUUACUGUGAGAGGGCCUCGCAGUGGCCCUAGUCGCCAGAAGAGGGCAGGGGCACAUCACCGGGAGCAAGAGGGCCCCCGGCCGCCAGCAGGGGGCGCCCGAACCCGCCUUUUCAGAUGGCGGGUCUGCAGUGUUUUAUUGUCCUCAUUGCAGACCUGGGGGGCACUGCGAGGAACCUAGCGGGCACAGCCUCACUUUGGGACAACUCUGGGCCGUGUCCACAGUAUAUGUAGUAGCUGGCAACUGCAUAUAUUUUUUUGAUUAACAUUUUAGAGACUGUCUCCAUCAUCUAUGUCAACCUGGAAACAGCUGAAACCAGCCUUUUCUGAAGAACUGUAUAUCAGUAUUAUAUGCGCAUCCCAUUUUGUCUUACCUGCAGAUUUUGGAAUUACUCUGGAAGAGAAGUGUACGUAUUUUUUUUUUUUUUUUUUGUUAUCUGCAGUAUGGUUUAGCGUAAGAUGUAUUAAGAAUACACAUGUGCAAACUCACUGAAGUAUCCCCAGCAAUUAGUAAAUUCUUAAUUCGAUUCAGUACAGUUAUCUCUUUGUAAAUUCUGUCUUUUAAAAAGUUGUUCGUGUUUUUAAAAGUGGAUAUCCAAAGGAAACUCAUUUAAGUGCUUUUGGUGUAUGUUAAACAUUUAUUUGCUGUGAUAUUCUAGUAUAAAAUAUCAAACAUGUUAAAUAUAUUUUUUAAAAAAAGAAUUUUAGGCAAAAUAGUUUAUUUAAGCAAACGAAUGAUUCAUGAAUCACACCUGAAGCACCAGAAUGGAAAACAGGGCUUGGGGCUUCGAGCUCUUAGUGAUGGCAGCUAAGUGAGGCUUCUCCUUGGCUCCAGCUAGGCGACCGCCUGUGUGGGGAUGGUUCCCUCAGCGUCCCUAGUCAUACAGCCAACUGGCGGCUGGGCUUAUUGUCAUUGACUGGUCAGUUUGCUAAUGUUUUGAAGUCAGUUUUAAUGCCUCCAAUUCGGUUUCCGUGUGCUUUGCAAGACCUCAGGCUAACGGCUUCCUCCUGUUUUGCUUUAACAUGUCAAAACCAUAAUUCAUUUUCAUUUUACUUUACUGGCAUUAAUAGAAGUAAAUUCAUAUUUUUGUUGUUAUUCAGAAAGUCAGUUUAAUUGGCAACCUAUUUGUGAUGGUGCAUAAAAUAAUGUCUGUUAAUCAUUAGCCUCUUAGAUUAGAUGAAAUAUGUUAACUCUAUUAAGCUUUGUUAUUAAACCAUAACAGGAGUUGAGUUUCUUUUUUCUUUUUUUUUUCCGCCUAGGCUUUAACCAUUUAAAAUACACUCAAGCAUCUCCUAAUGAUAUGAAUUCUUGCUGAGAAAUUUGUCCUUGGUGAUUUCAUUCUUGUCCGAACACCGUAGAGUGUCCUUUUAAAUCCUAUAUAGUGUAGCCCACUCCACACAUAAGUUAUAUGGUAUAGCCUAUUGCUCCCAUGCUACUUUUCAUACUUUUUGGUAGAGAUGGGGUUUUGCCAUGUUGGCCAGACUGGUCUGAAACUCCUGACCUCAUGUGAUCCACCCACCUCGGCUUCCCAAAGUGCUGGGAUUACAGGCAUGAGACACUGCGCCCGGCCACAGUGAAAUUAAUAACGCCCCCUUCACUCUCUGGGAAGACUGGGAUUAGAGGAUAAUUUAUAUCAGAAAUUCAUUAACCUUUUCAUAAAUGACCGGGUUGUGUAUAUUUUUGGCUAGUGGGCCAGACAGUUUCUGUCACAACUGCUCAAAACAUGAAAUAUAGAAACGAAUGGAUUUGGCUGUGUUCCAAUAAAACUUUAUUGAUAAGAGUAGGCAGUAUGCAGGAUUUGGUCUCUGGGCCAUGGUUUGCCUUCCGCUGGAUUGUUAGCCAUCGGACAUGGAAAGAACAAGACCCCAGCGAGUAGCAGGACGGUUUGUUCAGUGGGAGAGAUUUCCUGCUGCAGCUUCUGCCUCUGGCCUCUCCAAUGCAGAGGCUGGCCAGGUCAGGAGUCUCCUGUAACUGGCCUCUUGUGCCCCACAGCUGCCAGGAAUGAUAGCAUCAUGAUACACGGUGCCACCUUUGCCUGGUUCCAGGAAAGCCCUCCCUGCUUCCACAGGUGCAGAAUGACACCCAUGGAAACCAGCCUCAUGUUUUUAGGGAGAAGCUGCAUGGGGCUCCUGCCGACUUCCACCUGAGGGUUGGUGCAGGUUUCCAGCCUGGGUUGUGAGGGUGGGUUAGGUUGGGCCAGGGCUCUGCCAGGAAGGUUCCCAGGAUGCUCCUGUACCUCCUGCAGGUGGGGACCUGUACAACAUAGACCUGCACCUCCUGCAGAUGGGGACAAAGGCAUCUGAGUGUCCCACAUCAGGAGGAGACACCCCUCUGCUCCCAGGCUGGCCAAGAUGUUGCCAGGGUGAGGCUGGCUGAGGAGCUCCAUGGUUCAGCCUCGUCAGCUUUGCUAAAUUCUGUUGGACAUAUAUCAGUCCCAGAUCAUUAUUAUCUAUAGCCCCCAACUCCGUGGCUUGGUCUUUGUGGCCUAAAAUCUCAGCCAGCCCUGAAACUCCACAAGAAGGGAGAGAAAAUGUCCUGGGCAGUAUUUGUAUUCGUUGUCAUUCACUCACUUCAUUGAUGGAGCACUAGCUAUGGGGCCAUGCUCUGUUCUAGGUACGGGGGAUUGGGUGAAAGAAACAGACAAGGGCCCAGCUCUCUUGGGGUGAUAUGCUAAUAGAGGUGAGGCCUAAACAGGAAUCUAGGGCAGGGGGACAGAGCACGAUGGCAUGCCUAGUGAGGGAAGGCUUGGCAUUCAAGCUGAGAUCAUAAGGAAAGACAGUGAGCUGUGCAGGUGUCUGGGAGAAGAGUUCUUUUUUGAAAACAGUCUUGCUCUGUCUCCCAGGCUGGAGUGCAAUGGCACGAUCUCGGCUCACUGCAACUUCCACCUCCUGGUUUCAAGCGAUUCUCUUGCCUCAGCCUCCUGAGUAGCUGGGAUUACAGGUGCACACCACCACACCCAGCUCACUUUUGUAUUUUUAGUAGAGACGGGGUUUCACUAUGUUGGCUGUGCUCGUCUCCAACUCCCAAUCUCAAGUGAUCCACCUGCCUCAUCUCCCAAAGUGUUGGGAUUACAGGCAUGAGCCACCAUGCCUGGCAUGGGAGAAGAGCCUUCUAGGCAGUGGGAAUGGCAUAUGCAAAGGUCCUGGGUCAGGAGUAUGCCUGGACUUGGGUUUUCCAACCUCAGCAUGGUUGAUAUUUUGGGCUGAAACGUCAUCGUUGGGUUCUGUCCUGUGCAUUGUGGGAUAUUUAGUGGACCCCCAGUCUCUACCCACUAGAUGCCAGCAGCACCCCCUACCAGUUGUGACACCCAAAAAUAUCUCUAGAUCUUGCCAAAUGACUCUUGGGGGAUGCAGUCAUCCCCAGUUGAGAACCACUGACCUUUUGUGUUCAAGAAACAGCAAGGAGGUCAGCGUGGCCAAGAAAGAGCAGCUGAGGCACAGAGCGGAAGGAGCCGGGACAUCGUUCAUGAUCAUCAGGGCUUUACCUUUGACCCUGAGUGAAAUGGGAGUGCUGACGUGUUUAGCUGGGAAGUGUUAAGAGCUGACUUGGGUUUUUUGUUUGUUUGUUUGUUUUUUGAGAUGGAGUCUUGCUCUGUUGCCAGGCUGGAGUGAAGUGGUGUGAUCUCAGCUCACUGGAACCUCCACCUCCCGGUUCAAGCAAUUCUCCUGCUUCAGCCUUCCAAGUAGCUGGGACUACAGGCAUCCGCCACCACACCCAACUAAUUUUUGUAUUUAUAGUAGAGACGAAGUUUCUCCAUAUUGAUCAGGCUGGUCCUGCACCCCCAACCUCAGGUGAUCCGCCCACCACAGCCUACCAAAGUACUGGGGUUACAGGCGUGAGCCACUGCCGACUUGGGUUUUAACAAAUCCCUCUGGUCACGGGGUAGAGGAUGGGCUGUGGGACAUGGACAGGAGUGGGGCAGGACCAAGAGCAGGGGCAGGCAGGGUAGGAAAGAGCCUACUUAUUGCAGAGCCAAGGUAGGAGGCCAGGCUGGUGAAACCCUCACACGGCAGCCAACUCUGUGUGUAUGUGGGUGGACGUGCAUGCAUGUGUGUGCAUGGUGUGAGUGUGUGCACAGAGGUAUGCGUGUGAGCAUGGAUUGCUUGGGUAUGCACGUGCGCUUUUUUGAGUGGAUGUGUGCCCACUUUGUGUUGCUGUGCAUGCUAGCAUGCUUGUAUGAGUAUGCGAAUGUGCAUGCAUGUGUGCACGCUUUGUGUGUGUGCAUGAGUGUGCACAUGCACAAAUGUGCACAGGAUGGUUGCUCAGAUAGCCAGACAAGGACUGGGAAAAGAACAGCCCCACAGGUGCUCUUAGACUCCCAGAGCAGGAAAGCUCGGCUCCAUCUGAGGCUCACCCUUCCUCAAAGAUGGAUGCUGGGCCCUAACCAAGGUCCUGUCUUCUUUCUUGUAUUGAAAGAAUAAACCUCACCAUGCCCCAGGGCUGUUUCCUGGCUGUAGUUGGUCCAGUGGGAACACACAAGUCCUCCCUGCUGUUCGUCCUCUUUGGGGAGCUGUCAAAGGUGGAGGGGUUUAUGAGCAUUAAAGUAAGGCCACCCCCUGCCUGUCUGCUGGGAUGUCCCCAUCAUGCUGACAGUCCCCCUUCCUCACUGCCUUUCCACCUCUCUCCAUCCCAGCCAAGCUCACUUUCAUUCAUUCUCUCCACCACCCACCCACUGAGAGCCCAGCUCCCACUGCUCCUCAAAACCUAUCAUACCUCUGUCCCCAUCAUCCUUCUGUGACCAAAGUAAGUUGUGUUUUAGUGUUCGGUGGCCUACAUGCUCCAGGAGGCCUGGGUGCAGAACAUCUCUGUGGUGGAGAAAGUGUGCCUCAGGCAGUAGUUGGACCCAGCCUGGGUGGAGAGAGUCCUAGAGACCUGUGCCCUGUGGCCAGAUGUGGACAGCUUUCCUGCGGGAGUCCACACUUCAAUUGGGGAGCAGGUGAAAGUCUCGGGGUCUUUGGGUCAGGGAGGCACUGCAGUUGGGGGUCAUUUUGGUCCCUGACUCAUCAUGGAUGGUAUGAUGGAGAAAUGCAGGAAGCAGUCAGGGAAGUGGAGGAGAAGAAGUGCUUAGCUUAGGGUCAAGCACAUACUAGGUGCUCAAUAAAUAAUCAUUAAUCAAUAAAUAGAAAUGGACACAAAGAGAGGGGCAAGGAGUUGUGGUAGGAAUUGGCUGUGAGGGUCUCUCUGACAACUGAGAGUGAGAUGACUAGACUCCUGUCUUACUCUGCCCUGCCUUGCUGGGUGACUUUGAUCUAAUUGCUUCCACUCUCUGGGCCUCACCAAAGGGUCUGGACAGAGAUGUCCAAGACACAGGAUAUAUGCAUCUGGAGCUAUGGUUUGGGCAGUAGCUCACAAACUGUGACUCCCAGGCCAAAUCCAGCCCUCCACUUGUGCAGUUGUGUGUGUGUGUGUGUGUUUGAGAUGGAGUCUCACUGUUGCACAGGCUGGAGUGCAGUGGUGCAAUCUUGGUUCACUGCAACCUCCCCCUCCCACAUUCAAGAAAUUCUCCCACCUCAGCCUCCUGAGUAGCUGGGAUUACAGGUGCAUGCCACCACAAAUGGCUAAUUUUUAUAUUUUUAGUAGAGACAGUGUUUCACCAUGUUGGCCAGGCUCAUCUCGAACUCCUGACCUCAGGCCAUCUCCCCAUUUCCCUCAGAGUCAAAGCCCAAGUCGUGAUGAUUUCUGGCAGGGUCUCUGUCACCUUGCUCUGGUACCCAUCAUCCCCAUCUCUCAUCAUCAUCUCCUGGCUUCACUCCAGCCUCCAGAGUCUCUGUGAUGAUUCCUGAUCCCCCGCAGCACACUCUGUCCCCAGGACCUUUGCACCUGCUGUUCCCACUGUUGGAAAUCUCUCCCCAGGAGUUCCCAGGGCUCAUCCCUCACUUCUAUAACAUUCACAGAGAAGCCUUCCCUGAUUACCUUAUCCACCACCACCACCUCAACCCUGCUCAUGCUAGUGCGCCUUACACCCACAUCUGAUUUUGCUUUCCUUUCCUUUCAUUUCAUUUUCUUUCUUCUUUCCUUUCCUUUCCUCUCCUUUUAUUUUUCCUUUUCUUUUUUUCUUGAGACAGAGUCUUGCUGUGUUCCCCAGGCUGGAGUGCAGUUGCACAAUCUCAGCUCACUGCAACCUCUGCCUCCCAAGUUCAAGCAAUCCUCCCACCUCAGCCUUCUGAGUAGCUAGGAUUACAGGAAGGUGCCACCAUUUUUGUACUUUUAGUAAAAAUGGGGUUUCACCAUGUUGGCCAGGCUGAUCUCGAACUCCUAACCUCAAGUGAUCCACUCACCUCAGCCUCCCAAGAUGCUGAGAUUACAGGCGUGAGCCACCGCACCUGGCUGCACCUGCUUUAGAUUUUAUUCUUCAUAGUGCUUUCCACCUGAUGUGCUGUCUGUGUUACUGAUUUGUUUGUGGAUUGCCUGUCUUUCUCCCCUUCAUUAGAAUGAUGGAUCCAUUCAGAUAGCAGAAACUUUGUUUCUUUCUAUUUCUAGGCAUUGCUGUUUAUUCUUUGUUUAUUUCUAUUUCUAGGCAUUACUGUUUCCCCAAAGCCUAGAACUCUGACGGGGAUGUGAUAACCAGGCAGUAGUUAUUAGUGGAAUGAAUUAAUGUAAGAAUGAAUGAAUGUGUCAUCUGAGUCUAGAUUACAAAGAAAAAAAAAAGAAUAAAUGAAUGGCCAGGUGUGGUGGCUCAUGCCUGUAGUCCCAGCACUUUUGGAGGCUGAGGCAGGUAGAUUGCUUGAAGUCAGGAGUUCGAGACCAGCCUGGCCAACAUGGUGAAACUCCAUCUCUACUAAGAAUACAAAAAUUAGCCAGGCAUGGUAGCGCAUCAGUAAUCCCAGCUACACGGGAGGCUGAGGCAGGAGAUUGAACCCAGGAAGUUGAGAUUGUGGUGAGUCGAGAUCAUGCGACUGCACUCCAGCAUGGAUGAAAGAGCGAGACUGUCUCAAAAAUAAAUAAAAAUAAUUUAAAAAAAGAAUACAUGAAAGACAAGAAGGCCUAGAUAGAAAGAAUAAGUGAUAGUAAUCAAUAGUACACAAGGGAAACCAUAGUGAAUGAGCAUCUAUUUGUAAAUUUCAAGAUAGCUAGAAGACAAGGAUUGUUGUGUACUCAAUACAAAAGAUAGGUAUUUGAGGUAAUGACUAUCUCAGUUACCCUGAUAUGAUCAUUACAUACUGUCUACAUCAGGGGUCCCCCCACCCCCAGCCACAAAUCAGUACUAGUCUGAGGCCUGUUAGGAACUGUACAGGCAGCACAGCAGGCGAGCAGCAGGCAGGCGUGUGAGGCUUCAUCUGUGUUUACAGCCACUCCUUAUUGUUUGCAUCACCACUUAAGCUCCACCUCUAGUUCAGUGGCAGUGUUAGUCUCAUAGGAGUGCAAACCCUACUGUAAAAAGCACAUGCAAGGGAUCUCGGCUGCAGGCUCCUUCUUCUUCUUCUUCUUCUUCUUCUUCUUCUUCUUCUUCUUCUUCUUCUUCUUCUUCUUCUUCUUCUCUUCUUCUUCUUCUUCUUCUUCUUCUUCUUCUUCUUCUUCUUCUUCUUCUUCUUCUUCUUCAUUUUGAGGUGCAGUCUCACUCUUUCCCAGACUGGAGUAGAGUGGUGCAUUUUUGGCUCACUGCAAUCUCCACUUUUCAGGUUGAAGCCAUUCUCCUGCCUCAGUCUCCUGAGUGGCUGGGAUUACAGACACAUACCACCAUGCAUGGCUAAGUUUUGUAUUAUUUUAGUAGAGACAGGGUUUCACCACGUUGGCCAGGCUGGUAUCAAACUCCUGACCUCGUGAUCCCCCCAUUUUGGCCUCCCAAAGUGCUGGGAUUACAGGCAUGAGCCACCAUGCCCUGCAGCUGCAUGCUUCUGAUGAAAAUCUAAUGCCCGAUGAUCUAUCACAGUCUCCCAUUGUCCCUAAAGGGACCGUCUAGUUUCAGCAAAACUAGUUGACGCUCUCACUGAUUCCACAUUUAUUUCAUUAUAUUUUACAAUGUAAUACUAAUAGAAGCAGGCCAGACACAAUGGCUCAUGCCUAUCAUCCCAGCACUUUGAGAGGUUGAGGUGGGCAGAUAACCUGAGGUCAGGAGUUUGAGACCAGCCUGGCCAACGUGGUGAAACACGAUCUCUACUGAAAAUACAAAAUAUCAGCCAGGUGUGGUGGCAGGUACCUGUCAUCCCAGCUACUCGGGAGGCUGAGGCAGGAGAAUUGCUUGAACCCAGCAGGCAGAGGUUUCAGUAAGCCAAGAUUAUGCCAUUCCACUCCAGUCUGAGUGACAAGAGCAAAACUCCAUCUCAAUAAAUAAUAAUAAUAAUAAUAGAAGUGAAGUGCACAAUAAAUGUAAUGUGCUUGAAUCAUCCUGAAACCAAGCCCCUGCCCCCAGGUCCAUGGAGAAAUUGUCUUCUACAAAAUGAAUCCCUGGUGCCAAAAAGAUUGGGGAUCACUGCUCUACAGAUCUCAAAAUAUACAACUAUUACAUAUCAAUAAAAACUAAAAUAAAUCAAUUAAAAUUUAAAAUAAAAAUAAGUAGGACUGAAAAGUUACCACUGGAUCAUCAAAUAAGGAAAUGAAUGGUGUCCUCAUUAAAGGUGGUCUCAGUGGAGAAAGGGAACAGAAGUUGGACUCAAAUGGAUACAGAGAGCGAGUAGGGGACAGAGUAGCUUGGGAAGUGCAGGUAAUUCCUCCAGGAAGCAUUCUGGGAAGGGGAGAAGUGAGGCUGGUAAGGAUGGAGGGGAUGCUGGCUUGGGAGUGAGUGCCUUUGAAGCUGGGCAUGUGCCCAGGGGACAGACAUGGGGAGCGACACCUCACCCUGAUGGGCAGAUGUGCCCCAACCUGCUCCUGCCUGGGCUCCCCAUUUUCACCCUGUAGAUGCAGACUCAGGACACUGUUCCUUUUGUGGCCACAGGCCAUGAAUCUCUCAGGGGCCCGAAGCAGCAGCUGAGCCUCACCCGGGCUGUGUACAGAAAGGCAGCUGUGUACCUGCUGGAUGACCCCCUGGUGGGUGUGGAUGCCCACAUCACUCAGCACAUCUUUAACCAGGUCAUUGGGCCUGGUGGGCUACUCCAGGAAACAAUAUGUUUGGGAACACGUGUCAGAGGGCACAGGGCAAAGGCAGAGGAUGCUCUUAGCAUCCAGUCCUAACCCAAGUUUCUCUCACUGCCCCCUUCCACUUGAGUCCAAUUUUUUUCUCUUUAUUGGUCAGCUUUUGCUGUGAUGAUGCUACAUAACAAACAACCCCUCAGAUUUCAUCAGCUUACAACAACAGCUGUUUCUUGCUUAUGCAUCUGUGGUUUAACUACUACAGCUCUGCCUUGGCUGACUGGCCUGGGUCAGAUGGACUCCUUGUCUUCUUGAGGUAGGCUGAAGGAGUCCCUUCUGCUUCUCUAUUUGGAAAUGCUAUUUUCAAGAAAGGUAGCAGGAGCACAAGAAGAGGAGCUCUCCCCACUCUGAGUCCAGGGACAAUACUCCCACCCCUACCCCCUGCUCCAGGAGGCUGGCCAAGCACAUGGUGUAUAACUUUUCUUUUCUUACUUUCCUUCCCCUUCCCUUCAUUCCUCUUUCCCUUCCUCUCUCUCUCCCUCUUUCUCUCUCUCCCUGUCUCCUCCCUCCCUCCCUCCCUUCCUUCCUUUCUUUUUGAUGGAGUCUGGCUCCAUCAUCUAGGAUGAAAUACAAUUUCAGCUCACUGCAAUCUCCACCUCCCAGUUUCAAGUGAUUCUCAGGCCUCAGUUUCCCAAGUAGCUGUGACUACAGGUGUGUGCCACCAUAUCAAGCUUAUUUUAGUAUUUUUAGUAGAUACAGGGUUUAGCCAUGGUGACCUAGCUGGUCUUGAACUCCUGGCCUCAAGUGAUCCACCUGCCUUGGCCUCCCAAAGUGCUGGGAUUACAGGCAUGAGCCAUGGAACGUGGCCACAUGUGUAUUAACUUCUAACCCUUCCCUGCCCAGACACAGACUCUUGUGACCCACUCACUCCACAUCCUGCCCCAGGCUGAUUGGAUCAUGGUGCUGGCAGAUGGGGCCAUUGUAGAGAUGGGUUCCAAGUAGGAGCUUCUUCACAAGAAGGGGGCCCUCAUAAGUUUUCUGAAUCAAGCCAGACAGCUAGGAGGUAGAGGAGAAGGAGGUACUACUAGGUGGGCUCUGCUGAUUCUCUGUGCCUGGCUCUUGCCAACCUUGGGGGAAAAGACUCAAAGGGUCCUACUGGCAAGAGUGGAUUGCUCUGGUCACACCCUCCCUGCAAGCUUAUGCCCAAAAGCAGACGGCUCUCCAAUAGGUCACCUCUUUCCAAGAAGAGCCAAUAACACCAUCUGUGAGCCAGGGGCUGUGAUAAGUGCUUCUGUAAAAAACACACUAUUUUCAUUUGAUUUUCACCAUACCCUCAGAGGCAUGUGAAAUUACUGCUAUCAUUUUACAGAUGAACAAAGAGAGUUAAAUCAGUUGCCCAAGGUCACCAGAUUAGAACUUGAGUGUGUCCAACUCCAGAGUCUAUGCUUGCAGUUGCUAUGGAGACAGCACAAGAAGAUUUUGGUGCUAGAAAGCUACAACAUGCCAGCUAGAGUUUCUAAUAAUCCAAAGAACACAAAGUGCGCUGGAUACAUGACAAGGUUCUGGAAGUAAAGUUGUCAAGCCAAGCUCACCCACAAUGACUGAAAAGUAGCAACUCAUAGCACAUCACAUAUAUUAGCUCACUGAAUCAACUUAAUGCCCCCGUGAGGCUGGUACUUGAAUCAUUUCCAUUUCACAGAUGAGGAAACUGAGGCCCAAAAGUUAAGAAACUAGUACCAGGUUACAUGGCUUAUAAGUGGCAGCACUGGGAUUUGCACCCAAGCAACUUGAUUCCAGAGAAUGUGUUUUUUAAUCACUAGGCUUUUUACUACCCCUGCAUGACAAAGCAGAGUCACACCCAGGUCUCUCUCAAUCUCAGAUGUCGUCUCUUCUGAGAACAUCUGCUUAGCAUUGGCCGCUGGCUAAAAACACUAAGUGUUGAUUUACAAUGUCCCAGUCCUGAAGCUUGAAGCUAGAACUUGCCUGUUUGUAUUGGUCAGCUUUUGCUGACAAAUAGCCCCCAACUCUCAGCAGCUUAAACUAGCAGUUAUUUCUUGCUUACAGGCCUGUGGUUAAGCUUCUAUAGCUCUGCCUUUGGUUACUGGCCGUAUCCUGGGGAUUGUGGUGGGCAGGUGUCCUUCCUGGGAGAGAUGGUACCUGAGGGUUGGGGGGAGUUAGCCAGAAAAGAGCACUCCAGACACAAGGAACUGCUUGAGCAAGGCUGUCAGGAGAAACAGAGAUAACGUUAUACAGUGUUCACUGCUGUUUUUCCAACCUCAAGUUCACGGCAGGUACUCAAUUAUAUUCACUGAUUGAAAAAAUGAAUGAGUGAGUGAAUAGCCUGAAUGAUGUUCCUGGAAGAACUCAGAGUGGGGUGUUGAGGUUGCUGGAGACGUGGCAGGAGGCAGGACAGGGAAAAUGGAUGGUCAGAGCAGUUAAGGCCACAUGGUCAGUGGGUGUGAAAGUGAGUAUCUGGACCAUGUUGUGCCAGAGGACUCUCUUGACCUUUUAUCAGAUUGUGAAAACAAUCUAAAAAGAGAUGACAAGGUAAAAAUUUAAAGUGAUAUACAGAAAGAAAUCAGCAUGAGGCAAUUUAGUUGGGAAGGCCUAAGCCUUAGAUUUUUGGAUAUGGACUGAUUCAAAAGAAACAUGCAACUACCUUUUGACCCCAAAUUCCUCAAACAUACUAUUGAGAGUAAUUGAUUUUCACUCAGUUCCCUUUAAUAUGGCUCCUAGUCCUUGUACUUUACUAUAACUGUCUUUCCUGGGCCCAUCAGUGACUUCUUUCUUGCCAAAUUUAGAGACCUUUUUUUUUUCAGUCUGCCUAUUGCCCAAUCAUUUAAUUAUAUUUUAGAAGGGUUAUCUUACAUUUCUCUCAUUUUACUUUUAGUGUUAUAAGGAUACAGGAUAUCCUUCCUGUUGAGUGAUACAGGAAACAGUUACCUAUUUUAAGUGUAACGUUUAGUGUUAUAAAUAUUCCAAAGGUAAUAUGUGUUAUUUGCAGUGAAGUAGAACAUACAGAUUUGAUGAUUUGUGAUAAUCCAGGCUAAGGUAUUAAUAGAAUUUUUUCUGGCUUUGAAGUACAUUUUAUAUGUUGUAUAUGUAUUCUAAAUAAAGUCAACUGAGGACAGAGACAGGAAUCAUUAUUACAUUAAUAGUCAGAUGUCAGUGGCUUUUGCUCCAUAUGCUUGCAGAUGACAUCAGCCACUCCUGCAAUGUUUCUCAAGUAUUUCUGGGGAUCCCCGGAGGUGUAUCUUGUUUACUCAUAAACAAGUCUUAUCUUAAAGGUACUAUUACUGCUCUGUCAAAUAUCACCUCCACCAGACAUCAUAGACACUGCUCAACACCAGCACUAGCUCUCUAGAGCCCCUUAAUUGUAAAGGGAAGGUUGAUCUCUCAAAGUAAAAAGGUGGGGAAAAGAUAUACCAGCAAAAUUAAAAGAAUGUCAUGUUAGUUAUAUUUAUAUCAGGUAACACUGACAACCAAAAAGCAUUACUGAAGAUAAAAAGAUUAUUACAUAAUAAUUAAAAGGUUCAUUUCACCAGUAUUUAAACCUUGUUUUCUUCUAUCACAUUUCCAUUCUAAGAUGUACAUUUUUUUUUCACAUUUUAAUAUAUCUGAAGUGAGAAAGCAUCUUAUACUCAGGUAAGCAGCAAAAGUAAUAUGAUCAUCAUUGCUUGAACAUUUACAUCAAAACUUGUAGAAUGGGUGUUAGAGGCAUGGAAGAAAAUUCUGGAGAAAAUAGUGGUGCACUCUUAAUAAAGGCUGAACAACAACUGAUGAUACAGGAAACAGUACUGUACGAAGAAGGGUGGACAUGGAUGACUCAGUCAAAAAAUGACUCAAGUAAGUCAAACUUAAUUCAAGGAAGGUUGAGGAAUAAUUUAGCCAAUUCACUUUUCCCUAGUUUGAUUGAGGAAUAAUUUACAUGAAAUAAAGUUUACCUAUUUUAAGUGUAACGUUUAGUAAGCUUUGGAAUUUACACACAGUCAUGUAUCCAUGACCAUGAUCAAGAUAUAGAUCAUUGCCAAAAGUUCCUCAUGGCCCUUUGCAGUGAGUGUCUUCCUCCAAUUCCCAGUUCUAGGCAACCAUCUAUCUAGUUUCAGUCACUAUGGUUUUACCUAUUCCAGAAUUUAGUAUUAGUGAAAUAAUACAGUAUAUAGUCUUUUGUGUUUCACAAUCUUCCAUUUGUUUGGGUAAUUACCUAGAUUGCUGUGCUGUAUUGUAAGUAUAUGUCUAUGAGACAGUGUCAAAUUACUUUCUAUAUGGUGUGAUAUAUGAAUUAAGAUUAGCUUUUUAAAAAUAUGGAUUUACAAUUAUCCCAGCAGUAUUUGUAAAAAAAAAACUAUUCUUUCUCCAUUUCAUUAUAUUAAAAUUUUCAGGUCUACAUCUGGACUGUCUCUGAUUUUAUCAGCAGUACACCAUCUUAAUUACUGUACUAUUGAAAUUGGGUAUUGUGAAUUCUUCAACAUUGCUAUUAUUAUUCUUCUUUCUCAAAAUUCUUUUGGCUAGUCUUAAUGUAUUGUCUUUCCAUCUAAUUUUGGAAUCAGCUGAUAAAUUUCUACAAAAAUUUUGCUCAGAUAUUGAUUGGCGAGAACUGACAUCUUAACAAUAUUGAGUUUACCAAUCCAUGAACAAGUAUAUCUAUCUGUUAUCUGUGAUAUUUUCUGAUAAUGUUUUGCAGUUUUCAGCAUACAGAUUUUGUACAUGUUUUGGUAGAUUUAUA